rnacentral:misc_RNA from 1 species
GAUGAAGAACGCAGCGAAAUGCGAUAAGUAAUGUGAAUUGCAGAAUUCAGUGAAUCAUCGAAUGUUUGAACGCACAUUGCGCCCCUUGGUAUUCCGAGGGGCAUGCCUGUUCGAGCGUCAUUAUAACCCCUCAAGCUCAGCUUGGUGUUGGGGCCUGCUGCACUGGCAGCCCUUAAAAUCAGUGGCGGCGCCAUCUGGCUCUAAGCGUAGUAAUUCUUCUCGCUAUGGAGUCCUGGUGGAUGCUUGCCAUCAACCCCCAAUUUUUCUAUGGUUGACCUCGGAUCAGGUAGGGAUACCCGCUGAACUUAAGCAUAUCAAUAAGCGGAGGA